rnacentral:piRNA from 1 species
UCCAGACCCACACUCUGUCACGUCGGGAGAGC